UACAGAGGGUGCGAGCGUUGUUCGGAAUUAUUGGGCGUAAAGCGCUUGUAGGCGGCCUGUCAAGUCGCGUGUGAAAUCCCCUGGCUUAACCAGGAAGUGCGCGCGAAACUGAAGGGCUUGAGUGCCGGAGAGGUCGCGGAAUUCCCGGUGUAGAGGUGAAAUUCGUAGAUAUCGGGAGGAACACCAGUGGCGAAGGCGGCGACCUGGACGGACACUGACGCUGAGACGCCGA
rnacentral:rRNA from 1 species